AAACGACUCUCGGCAACGGAUAUCUCGGCUCUUGCAUCGAUGAAGAACGUAGCGAAAUGCGAUACGUGGUGUGAAUUGCAGAAUCCCGUGAACCAUCGAGUUUUUGAACGCAAGUUGCGCCCAAAACCUUUUCGGUUGAGGGCACGUCUGCCUGGGUGUCACGCA
rnacentral:rRNA from 1 species